rnacentral:rRNA from 1 species
UACGCAGGGGCCUAGCGUUGUCCGGAAUUAUUGGGCGUAAAGAGCUCGUAGGCGGUUUGUCGCGUCUGCUGUGAAAGACCGGGGCUCAACUCCGGUUCUGCAGUGGGUACGGGCAGACUAGAGUGAUGUAGGGGAGACUGGAAUUCCUGGUGUAGCGGUGAAAUGCGCAGAUAUCAGAAGGAACACCGAUGGCGAAGGCAGGUCUCUGGGCAUUAACUGACGCUGAGGAGCGAAAGCAUGGGGAGCGAACAGG